CAACUCCCAGGAGCACGCGCGCCCCCCGGUAAGGGGUCUGCAGCCGCCAGAGGCACGGUGAGGAGCGGCUCAGCGGUGGGUGGCGGCCCCGGCCAGGGCGCUGGACGGCGAACGUGGCUUGCUGGCUUACAGGCGCCUUAGCCAAGGUGCCCAGUAGCUCACGGCCAUCCAAGGUUUUUAGGGAACCUGUCGCCCUCUGAAAUGUGUGUCAGCUCUGCGCCGAACUGGGCGCCUUCACUUGGUUUCGGGUUUUCUCUCCUUUCAAGAUCUCUGGCGUUGGCGAGAGUUUGUUUUUUAGAGAAAAAAAAAAAAAAAAAAAAAAAUACCGCAAAAUGAACGUGCGCCGCCCGGGAAUCGAACCCGGGUCGCAAGAAUGGGAAUCUUGCAUGAUACCACUACACCAGCGGCGCUCUCGAGCGCUCUCCCCGCGCGAGCAGUCAAGACUGUAAUGAGGAAGCCCUCCGCGCAUGCCCCACCACGAGAGCCGGGGGCGGCGCAAAGGAGCCGGCGACCGCGUAGGACCUAGCCGGCGGGGCCGCGCGGUGGGAGUCCCGCGGUGCCCUCCAGUGCCCGAGGAGAAGCAGCGAACGUGAGGGACGCGGGCUGCAGGACACCCUCGAUUCGGGCCUGAGCCUAGGAAACCGCUUCACCUGGGCCUCCCCAGGCACAGGAAAGAGGAGCCCGAGAUUAGUCUCUCCAGAGCUGCCUUGAGGAGCUGCCCACAGUGCCCAGUUGCCUGACCUCAGGCCGGUGCUCACCUGCAGGCUCAUGACUUGGAGCUGCAUGCUGGCUAGGCCACACCUGCCCUCGGCACCCCCGGAGCUCAGCAGCCGGAAUGGAUGUGUCUGAGCAGAGGCCUUGGCUGCAGUGGGUGCAUCCACAGCAUCCCUGACCUCUCCUUGGAGAAUAUGGGGGCCACUGGACACCCCCAGGCCCUGAUGCCUGCACAGAGUUCUCCUCUUAUUUCUCUACCAAACUGAGGGUCGGCCUGUUAUUUCUCAUGGCCCAAUAACAAGAUGCAGAUGGACUGGGGAGGAAAAGUGCUUUUAUUUCUGCGACUGGUUACAGGGAGAAGGCCUGGAAAUGAUCACCAGCAAGUUUUCCAGAGGUUGUGUACCUUCCAAGGUGUAUGUCUAUGUGUAAGUGUGCACUCAUCCAAACACAUAAGUGAUUAACUCUUUUUCAUCUGUAACUAAGGUCUGAGUCCUGAAGACCUUCCUCUGGAGCCUCAGUAAACUUAAUGUAAAGGGGUCGAGGUGUUGGAGUGAUUACCUUAUCUUGUCUCCUGCGAAAUCAUAGAGGUUUGGGGAGUUCCUUUGGGCCCCAGAUAAACUUGUCUGUGGAGGACUGGGAAAUUGCUUCAGACCCCCGAUAACCUUGUUUAAUCUUGAAUGCGUCCUGUUAAGAAUUCCUUCAUCAUCUUGUCAUGCUUCGGGCCCCAGGAGGGGCCUGGGCACAACUCGGUGGGCUUUCGUUACCUCCCAGCCUCUGCAGAAGGGCGCUGGCUUUUUUUUCUGUUUUUGAGACAG